rnacentral:rRNA from 1 species
AACGAACGCUGGCGGCAGGCUUAACACAUGCAAGUCGAACGCAUCCUUCGGGGUGAGUGGCAGACGGGUGAGUAACGCGUGGGAACGUGCCCUUCAGUUCGGGAUAACCCAGGGAAACUUGGGCUAAUACCGGAUACGUGCGAGAGCAGAAAGAUUUAUCGCUGAAGGAUCGGCCCGCGUCUGAUUAGCUAGUUGGUGGGGUAAUGGCCCACCAAGGCGACGAUCAGUAGCUGGUCUGGGAGGAUGAUCAGCCACAUUGGGACUGAGACACGGCCCAAACUCCUACGGGAGGCAGCAGUGGGGAAUAUUGGACAAUGGGCGCAAGCCUGAUCCAGCCAUGCCGCGUGAGUGAUGAAGGCCUUAGGGUUGUAAAGCUCUUUCGUCCGGGACGAUAAUGACGGUACCGGAAGAAGAAGCCCCGGCCAACUACGUGCCAGCAGCCGCAGUAA